GUGCCAGCAGCCGCGGUAAUACGUAGGGCGCAAGCGUUAUCCGGAAUUAUUGGGCGUAAAGAGCUCGUAGGCGGUUUGUCGCGUCUGCUGUGAAAACUAGAGGCUCAACCUCUAGCUUGCAGUGGGUACGGGCAGACUAGAGUGCGGUAGGGGAGAUUGGAAUUCCUGGUGUAGCGGUGGAAUGCGCAGAUAUCAGGAGGAACACCGAUGGCGAAGGCAGAUCUCUGGGCCGUAACUGACGCUGAGGAGCGAAAGAGUGGGGAGCAAACAGGCUUAGAUACCCUGGUAGUCCACUCCGUAAACGUUGGGAACUAGUUGUGGGGGCCUUUCUACGGUCUCCGUGACGCAGCUAACGCAUUAAGUUCCCCGCCUGGGGAGUACGGCCGCAAGGCUAAAACUCAAAUGAAUUGACGGGGGCCCGCACAAGCGGUGGAGCAUGUGGUUUAAUUCGAUGCAACGCGAAGAACCUUACCUACUCUUGACAUCCACGGAAUUUAGCAGAGAUGCUUUAGUGCCUUCGGGAACCGUGAGACAGGUGCUGCAUGGCUGUCGUCAUCUCGUGUUGUGAAAUGUUGGGUUAAGUCCCGCAACGAGCGCAACCCUUAUCCUUUGUUGCCAGCGGUCCGGCCGGGAACUCAAAGGAGACUGCCAGUGAUAAACUGGAGGAAGGUGGGGAUGACGUCAAAUCAUCAUGCCCCUUAUGACCUGGUCUACACACGUGCUACAAUGGCGCAUACAAAGAGAAGCGAACUCGCGAGAGCAAGCGGACCUCAUAAAGUGCGUCGUAGUCCGGAUUGGAGUCUGCAACUCGACUCCAUGAAGUCGGAAUCGCUAGUAAUCGUAGAUCAGAAUGCUACGGUGAAUACGUUCCCGGGCCUUGUACACACCGCCCGU
rnacentral:rRNA from 1 species